AUGCGACAGGUUUGAGGUUUAUUCCCCAAAGAAACCUUAAUUCAUCUGUGUGCCAUAAUGCCUUGCUCUUGAAGCAACCUCAGCCCAUGAUCAAAUACCAUCAAGGGAAGUUCUUUAAUUCAUCAUUUCAUGCAUAUUUGAACUAUUUUGAGUAUCCUCAAUCAUCAAUUCAUCAAGAUAUGAGUCAUGGACUUGAGAAGUUGAUCAGUCAAUUCAUUUGACUAUUU
rnacentral:lncRNA from 1 species